CCUACGGGAGGCAGCAGUGAGGAAUAUUGGUCAAUGGACGCGAGUCUGAACCAGCCAAGUCGCGUGAGGGAUGACUGCCCUAUGGGUUGUAAACUUCUUUUGUAAGGGAGUAAACGAAGGCACGCGUGCCUUUUUGCGUGUACCUUACGAAUAAGGAUCGGCUAACUCCGUGCCAGCAGCCGCGGUAAUACGGAGGAUCCGAGCGUUAUCCGGAUUUAUUGGGUUUAAAGGGAGCGUAGGCGGUGUGUUAAGUCAGGUGUGAAAUUUUGCGGCUCAACCGUGUAAUUGCCAUUGAUACUGGUAGGCUUGAGUGCAGGAGAGGUAGGCGGAAUUCGUGGUGUAGCGGUGAAAUGCUUAGAUAUCACGAAGAACACCGAUUGCGAAGGCAGCUUACUAAACUGGUACUGACGUUGAGGCGCGAAAGUGUGGGUAUCAAACAGGAUUAGAUACCCCUGUAGUC
rnacentral:rRNA from 1 species